rnacentral:rRNA from 1 species
AGCUAACGCGUUAAGCAUCCCGCCUGGGGACUACGGCCGCAAGGCUAAAACUCAAACGAAUUGACGGGGGCCCGCACAAGCAGCGGAGCGUGUGGUUUAAUUCGAUGCUACACGAAGAACCUUACCUGGGCUUGACAUGCAGGUAGUAGCGAAGCGAAAGCGGAGCGACCCUUCGGGGAGCCUACACAGGUGCUGCAUGGCUGUCGUCAGCUCGUGCCGUGAGGUGUCGGGUUAAGUCCCGUAACGAGCGCAACCCCUGCUCUUAGUUAUACGUGUCUAAGAGGACUGCCGGCGGCAAGCCGGAGGAAGGUGGGGAUGACGUCAAGUCAGCAUGGCCUUUAUGUCCAGGGCUACACACACGCUACAAUGGCCGAUACAAUGGGUUGCGAAACCGCGAGGUGGAGCCAAUCCUCCAAAGUCGGUCUCAGUUCGGAUUGCAGGCUGCAACUCGCCUGCAUGAAGUCGGAGUUGCUAGUAAUCGCAGGUCAGCAAUACUGCGGUGAAUAUGUUCCCGGGCCUUGUACACACCGCCCGUCACGUCAUGGAAGCUGGCAACACCUGAAGCCGGUGAGCUAACCCGCAAGGGAAGCAGCCGUCGAAGGUGGGGCUAGUGACUGGGACGAAGUCGUAACAAGGUAGCUGUAGCGGAAGCUGCGGCUGGAUCACCUCCUUUCUAGGGAGUAAG